AUAGUACUCCCUCCGUCCUAAAAUUCUUGUCCUAGAUUUGUCUAAAUAUGGAUGUAUCAAGUCAUGUUUUAGUAUUAGAUACAUCCGUAUCUAGACGAAUCUAAGACAAGAAUUUUGGGACAGAGGGAGUAUACA
rnacentral:pre_miRNA from 1 species